GAGGGAAAGUUGCAAAGAACUUUGAAGAGAGAGUUCAAGAGGGCGUGAAACCGCUUAGAAGCAAACGAGUGGAGCUGCAAUGCAGUCUGCAGAAUUCAACUUGCCUUUGUAUGGACGUCCCGCGCCUGAUUUUCCAACGGAAACGGGAACGAUCCAUGCUGGGUGGGUGCACUUUCUGUAGACGUGCGCCACGAUCGAUUAGUGCGCUGGCUGAAGGUGAGCGAGUUGCCGACUGCGACUUCGGUUGCAGAGCCCCGUUCGCUCGUCUAGUCCGAGUUGCGCUGAUCGAGAACCUGCCGCACCCGCUUGUCUCAUGGCAGGUCACUUGCGUGCGGACGAACUGGCUAGCCUUGCUUGCAAGACUGGCCGACCCACGUGCGUACAGUGGCUUGUCGUUGAGAGGUGCUGAUGGUCUGUGGCGUCCGUGUCAGCCACCCACUCGACCCGUCUUGAAACACGGACCAAGGAGUCUAGCAUGUGCGCAAGUCAUUGGGUGGCAAACCCAAAGGCGCAAUGAAAGUAAAGGUCAAUUCCGUUGGCCGAAGUAAGAUCCCCGGCUUGUCCGGGGCGCAUUACUGUCCCGUCUCAUCUACUUUGCUAGAGGGGCGGAGAUAGAGCGCACACGCUGGGACCCGAAAGAUGGUGAACUAUGCCUGAGCAGGACGAAGCCAGAGGAAACUCUGGUGGAGGUCCGUAGCGGUUCUGACGUGCAAAUCGAUCGUCAGACUUGGGUAUAGGGGCGAAAGACUAAUCGAACCAUCUAGUAGCUG
rnacentral:rRNA from 1 species